rnacentral:precursor_RNA from 8 species
CAAAAAAGUUUUGACAGGAGGUAGUUGCUAUCUUUGGUUAUCUAGCUGUAUGAGUGUUUAUCUGCCUUCAUAAAGCUAGAUAACCGAAAGUAGAAAUGUCCUCCUUAACUGCAUACAAGUUG